rnacentral:lncRNA from 1 species
AAAGGCUCAGCGAUGGGAAUUCAACCAGCCAAGGCCUGGCCGGGUUAGAGCAGCUCUGCAGGAUCUGCCUGGCCGCAGGAGUGACCCCGCUGUGUGGCAAUACUGAAGAUGGGAAAACCACUUCCUUCCUCUCUGCCUGGAUGCUCCAAAGGGCUGAAUCUAUAGCAGGGGUUGGACAGGCAGUGGGAGGCACGGGAGGUCGCCUUAGGCACUCAGCAGGGAUCCACCAAGCAGCCGAAGGCCUGAUACAGCCCCAAAGUGCAACGGGAUUUAGGUGCCUAAAUGCAUUAGGCUGCUAGGAAAAUCCCAGCCUUUGAAGCUUAAGUAGUCACUAACAAAAAC